UAAUACGGAGGGUGCAAGCGUUAUCCGGAUUCACUGGGUUUAAAGGGUGCGUAGGCGGGCAGGUAAGUCCGCGGUGAAAUCCUGGGGCUUAACCCCAGAACUGCCGCUGAUACUAUCUGUCUUGAAUACUGUGGAGGUGAGCGGAAUAUGUCAUGUAGCGGUGAAAUGCUUAGAUAUGACAUAGAACACCAAUUGCGAAGGCAGCUCACUACACAGCCAUUGACGCUGAGGCACGAAAGCGUGGGGAUCAAACAGGAUUAGAUACCCUGGUAGUCCACGCCCUAAACUAUGGAUACUCGACAUACGCGAUACACAGUGUGUGUCUGAGCGAAAGCAUUAAGUAUCCCACCUGGGAAGUACGACCGCAAGGUUG
rnacentral:rRNA from 1 species